UACGAGGGGUGCAAGCGUUGCUCGGAAUUAUUGGGCGUAAAGGGUAGGUAGGUGGUCUCAUUUGUCUGGGGUGAAAGCCUUGAGCUUAACUCAAGAAGUGCCCCAGAAACGGUGAGACUGGAGUCCUGGAGAGGGUCGUGGAAUUCCCGGUGUAGCGGUGAAAUGCGUAGAGAUCGGGAGGAACACCAGCGGCGAAGGCGGCGACCUGGACAGGCACUGACACUCAACUACGAAAGCGUGGGGAGCAAACAGG
rnacentral:rRNA from 1 species